GACGAACGCUGGCGGCGUGCUUAACACAUGCAAGUCGAACGGAAAGGCCCUGCUUUUGUGGGGUACUCGAGUGGCGAACGGGUGAGUAACACGUGAGUAACCUGCCCUUGACUUUGGGAUAACUUCAGGAAACUGGGGCUAAUACCGGAUAGGAGCUCCUGCUGCAUGGGGGGGGUUGGAAAGUUUCGGCGGUGGGGGAUGGACUCGCGGCUUAUCAGCUUGUUGGUGGGGUAGUGGCUUACCAAGGCUUUGACGGGUAGCCGGCCUGAGAGGGUGACCGGCCACAUUGGGACUGCGAUACGGCCCAGACUCCUACGGGAGGCAGCAGUGGGGAAUAUUGCACAAUGGGCGGAAGCCUGAUGCAGCAACGCCGCGUGCGGGAUGACGGCCUUCGGGUUGUAAACCGCUUUCGCCUGUGACGAAGCGUGAGUGACGGUAAUGGGUAAAGAAGCACCGGCUAACUACGUG
rnacentral:rRNA from 1 species